GUUGUUUUACCCACAACGGCAGCCGCAACUGUUAAGUCCCGGUGUUGGAAUCCUCGACAUCGAAAUAGAGUCACACACUGUUUAACGUUAGCUGUCUGCUUUGAACCGCAUUUAAUCCAGCUGCUAGCUAAUGCUAGGCUAAUGUUACCAGCUGUCAAGUGUAUUAUUUUAAUGUAAACAUCUGU